GGGGAAUAUUGCACAAUGGGCGCAAGCCUGAUGCAGCAACGCCGCGUGAGGGAUGACGGCCUUCGGGUUGUAAACCUCUUUCAGUAGGGAAGAAGCGAAAGUGACGGUACCUACGGAAGAAGCACCGGCUAACUACGUGCCAGCAGCCGCGGUAAUACGUAGGGUGCGAGCGUUGUCCGGAAUUAUUGGGCGUAAAGAGCUUGUAGGCGGUUUGUCGCGUCUGCCGUGAAAAUCCGGGGCUCAACUCCGGACUUGCGGUGGGUACGGGCAGACUAGAGUGUGGUAGGGGAGACUGGAAUUCCUGGUGUAGCGGUGAAAUGCGCAGAUAUCAGGAGGAACACCGAUGGCGAAGGUAGGUCUCUGGGCCACUACUGACGCUGAGAAGCGAAAGCGUGGGGAGCGAAC
rnacentral:rRNA from 1 species